CCCAGGUGGCGAAGGUUGCAGUGAGCCAAGAUUGCACCACUGCAUUCCAGCCUGGGUGACAGAGCAAUACUCAGUCUUAAAAAAAAAAAGAAAAAAGAAAAAAAAGCUUGACCAAUCAGGAUAAUUUGGAAAGUACUGUGCAAAAAAGCAUAGAGAAACAGAAAAAAAAUCUGCUAUCCAAAGACAACCCCUCUUAACCGUUGGCAAUUUUUCUUCUUUUUUAAAAUGAAUUUAUUUUUUGUAAGUGGUUGAGAGCAUACUGUAUGCAUGGUUAGUCUCUUGCCUUCUUGCUUAAACUUCCCAUAUAUGCAUUUCAUGGUUAACAUUGCAUUAAAGCUGUUCUCUUUCAUUUGUCACCCAUAUCAGCUGUUUGGCAUCCCCAAGGUCACAUGGGCCCCUGGGAUCUGAUGAUUUCAGUGAGGGCCUGUAAAGGAAGGAGACUCCAACUGCCCCUGGCUUUCCUACCCUUGCCUCAAGUGUUCAGCCAUCAGCCAUCAGUUCUUUAGAAGUCUGCAGGUACUGGCAGUACAGUGGAGGGAGAGGAGCCCUGUAUGGGGCUUUAAGUUCUAGUCCACCCUUGUGACCUUCAAAAACUUCGCUUUAGUACCCAGUCUUCAAUGUCUGCAUGGGUUAAAUGAGCAACUACAGGAUCAUUUAUUAAUUUAUUCACCACAUAGUUGAGUGCCCACUCUAAACCAAAGACAAAUAGGAAGAACUUAGUUUUUUAGAAGAUCAUAGUUCAAAGGAGGAGGCGGGGGUAAUGAGAGAUUAGUGCAGGAUGCUGUGUGACCAUGAGCAGGGUGUCACCAAUGACAGGAGCAGUGGGAAAGACUUCCCGCGUGAGGCCACACUGGACAGCCAACCACAUCUAGCUUUCAAUUAUUGUAAUUGACACUGUGAUUAGAAUAUUUGUGAAGAGACAGGGGCUCUUUAUACUUUAAAAGGUAUGACCACUUUAAAAACUUACAGAUUGAGUUCGAUUAUCUAUAAAAUCGUAAAGUAUCUAUAAAGUCUUAAAGUAGCCAAAUAUAUAUUGUGGGAAUGGGAAAAAUUAAUAGCAUAAGCAAUUCUGGAUUUGCAUUCUUGCUCAUUAUGUAUCACCUAUAUAGACUUGGACAAGCUACUUAAGCUUACUAAACUUCAAUUUCCUUCUCUGUAAAAUGGGGAUAACAGACCUUAUUUCAUAGGGCAAUCAUGAGCAUUAGAUGAAAUCAUAGGUAAAAGGCUCAGUACAGUUCCAGGUAUAUGGCACUCAGUUAAGCAAUGGCUGUUGUUGUUAUAAUUGGGGUUUUCACAAGCCACACACUUUUGCUCCUGGUAUUUUUUCUUGUCGUGAUAGCAGGCUAUUGUUUGGCUUUCUGUGCUGAGGGAAGCAGAAAGGUAAUUAAAAUGGAAACCCCCACUAAGUGACAAGUUGAGGGAGAAAUGAUCACUCACAUGAUACAUCAAAAAAAAAAGCAUUUUUUAUUAUGGAAAAUUUGAAACGUACAAAAGUACAAAGAAGAGUGUAAGGAGCCCUGUAUCAUAUCACCUAGCUUCAACUGUUGCCGAAACUCGUGGUUGAUUGUAACGCCGUCCUCAACCCCAGAUUACAUGGAAGCACAUCUCAGACAUCUUAUCAGCUAAGCCACAGAUAUUUCAGUCACGUGAUGCAUAUUUGAAGCAUUGAGUUGUGCUGGCUAGGAGCCUGUCUCUGCUGUCAUGGUCAUGGGACUGUGUGUGUGUGUAUGUAUGUGUGUGUGUUGGUGGGGGGGAGAUUGGGAGUUAGGGAACAGACAGAGAGUCAACCUAGGAACCUCUUUUUUUUUUGAGACCUGGUCUCACACUGUCACCCAGCCUGGAGUGCGGUAGGAUGAUCAUGACUCACUACAGUCUCUGACCUCUCAGGCACCAGUGAUUCUCCUUCCUCAGCCUCCUGAGCAGCUGGGACUACGGGCAUGCACCACCACACCCAGUUAAUUUUAUUUGUUGUACAGAUGGGUGUCUCUCCAUGUUGCCCAGACUUGAAUUCCUGGGCUCUAAUGAUCCUCAUACCUUGGCCUCCCAAAGAGCUGGGAUUACAGACGUGAGCCACCAUGCCCAGCCUCCAACCCGGGCAUGUCGUAAGCUUUACUGCUCAAGUAAGGAGGCCUUGCAGUGUCCCAAAGAGACAGCGUGGAAGGACCACUGAAUUCAGAGUCAAGAAACCUGAUUUCAAAUAAGAGCCCUGCCCUUUAAUGGUUGUGUUUUUAGAAAGUGACUUUUGAAUUUCUUGGAGCAUGCUUGUAAACAUUUUGUGAGUGUUAAAUGAGGUAAUCCAUGUGACAGUUCAAGUGGCUCAAUAUGAGUUGCACCUAAAUCGGACUCGAGCCCAGCCUUCCUUUCCAGAGAGGCAGAGUUUCCAUAUGCAGCUAAGGUCCCUGACUGCCACCCAGCCUCACCAGAAUGCAUUCAGGGAGCGUUGCCACCGGUCUCAUGCUGAAGAUGUGGUGGUGGCUCAGAUGAGCAUGUGACACACAGAGCACCCCAUGCCUGCAAAUCCCCAUCCCCUCUCUUAGCCCCUUCCCUCUGCUUUAUGGAUGAGGGCGGGGUGGGUGGUAGCUAGAGAAGGUCCCAGGCCUUGGUAGCAGCAGGCUCUCUCUCACACCCCUUCUAUAAGAAGGUAGGUUCCCCUUUCCACCUCUGACUUUGACUAUUCUUGGUCUCCUUUAACUUGCUGUUACAUCCAAGUAAAAAUUUUUGACUCAAAUAAAAUAGGAAAGUCGAUCUGACUUAGUAAUCAAGUCAAAGUCCUCUCCUGAAUCCACUGGGACACCCAUUAUGUGAAGACCUGGACUGUGACUUGGGGUCUCUGGCUGUUGCUGGCUAGCUGUGUGACCCUGAACAAAUGCAUGCCACCCUGGGUAUGCUACCUCAGAUAAUCAACUCUCAGCCCUGUGCAGCUCCUUCCAGCUCUGAGAUUAUCCAACGGAAGAUGCAUGUAAGACUGGGAGGUUUCUUCCCAUAAAUAAUAAAUGAAAUGGUUUUUUUUCUGGAAUAUUCAAACAGGGUAAAAAAUUAAUCCCCUCAGCUUACGCCAUUCCUCCCUCAUUCUACUUCUCUUUGCAGUGACGACUGUUUGCAGUUUGAUGUCGGUUCUUCCAGCCCCUUUUGUGCACAUUUAUAUAUGUAUUUGUGGUUUGUGCAAAUACAUUUUUAAAACGCAGUAGAUGGAUUACAAUCAAACUUGUUCAACACAUUUGGUUUGUACAAGUUUGGUCUGGGGGCCGAAUGUAGUCCACGGUGGCCUUGAAUGCGGCCCAACACAAAUUCAUAAACUUUCUUAAAACAUUAUGAGUUUUUUUCUUUUUUCUUUAAUCUCAUCAGCUAUCAUUAGUGUUAGUGUAUUUUAUGUGUGGCCCAGGACAAUUCUUCUUUGGCCUAGGGAAGCCAAAAUAUUGGACACUCCUGGCAUUAUACUGGCCCAUUUACAAACUUGCCUUGUUCAUUUCACUAUAUGUAUUUGAUGUCUUCCCAUAUCAGUGUUUUUUUUUUUCCAUAGCUGCAUUGCAUUCUAUAUUUUGAAUGUGUUUUCCUUACCAAUCUUCUGUUGAUAGACAUUUAUGUAUUCCCAUAAAAAUAUAUUUCUAAGUGUUUUUAGACCCCAAACAUAUGGGAAGAUGAUUGUAAAUGUCAGUGGGUUAAAUGAAGCUAGUCCAUCAAGUCUUGGAAAGGGUGGUGACAGAGUGGGCACAGUAACACUGAGACCUGCAUUCUGGAAAGCUGAAUUGAAGGGCUCUCAGAAAGCUACCAAGAGGCUGUUUGCAUGGAAGGUUAUUUUUGGAGGUAGCCUGCCUGGUUUGGUGUCCUCAGCUGCAAGUGCAAAAGCUGAGCUGCGUCAUCACCUUCUCCUCCCCCUCCCACCAUCCUUGGGCCUUCCAAGUUUGCUUCUGUUCUCAGGGUCAGGAUCGGGACCUCGUGGGAGAACUGGCACUUAACUGAUAGGGAGGAAGGAGAGAGAAGUGAAGAAAAUGGGUGUUCGAUCUCAGGCUCUGGAGGAGGAAUUGUGACAGUUAUACUGUACUUUGUCUGGUUGUUCAAACCUAUUUGGGGUGUUAUGCUUCCCUGGGUCCUCUCCAGAAUGAUAAAAUGAUGUAACACCCAGAAAUUGGCUACUCAGAAGACAGUGGCUUAGGACAGCAUCUCGGAGGUGGAAUAAAUGUGGAAACUAGGGCUUUCUAGUCUGCAGGAGAUAAAAAUAAGAGGCAUCCUUUUCAUGUGGAAGAAAUCACACUUCAUUAGAGUCACACUGAGUGGCGCUGCAGAGAACAGAAGCAAUAUAGGGGUGGGUGAAGAGGGCACAGAGUUGCGGGAAGACAAAUAAGCAAGAACUGACUUAACAGAGCUGCCCAACAAUGGAACAAGCUGUGCUACAAGGAAGCCACCGCCCUGUUAUAAAGUUAUCAAAGCAAAAGUUACAAAUAAACUUGUUUGCCAUCAGAGGAUUUCUGCAUUGUGGAGGGUUGGCCUGAAUGCCCAUUUAGGCCCCCUCCAGCUUUGAGAGUCUCUGACUAUGAGGCAAGAAGCAGAAAGGUGCCAACUAGAACUGAAGGGAUGGGACAAAUUAUAGACAAUGUAAUGAAGCAGUUUUCACCUGCUCUAAAAAGGGGGGAUAAGAUGGAAGCCAUCAAAGGAUGCUUAAGCAUUGUUUCCCUUGGAUCUUGGCAACCCUCUCCCUGUUCUGUCCUUGGCUUCAGCUCCCUUUGACCUUAUAUUCAUAAAUUAUUUCCACAGGGAUAAAUACAUCACAUACACUUGAGAUGACCAGGAAAUCUGGCAACUGGAAAAGAACUACAUGUCCCAGGAGGAUGACUGUGAAUUUUUUUCGUUACAGUCUUUGUAAAUCUGCAUCCAUCUUGAUGGAGUCUUCCUUAGCACAAUGCUGAGCUUCCAGCUUUAAUUUUAGGGAGGUUGUAGCCUUUACAACCUCUCGAAGUUCCUCUGUGCUGGAAUUGAGGGCACUCACCAUGUUUAAGAAUGAUCCCUUUCUUUCUUGCAAGUAAGGAAGAAUGUUCUGACUUGACUUAGCCAAGUCCUUGCUUGGUUCUUUUGUUCAACAAACAUUGAGUGCCUGCUGCAGGCCACAGCCAAUCAGUAAUCCAGAAAUCUCCAAAUAAAAUCUUCAUGUGCCCAACCAUGUGCGAAGAGGGAGAAGAUUCAUCCUUUUUCUCAAAAGCUCCAGGUUCAUUGGGAGCCCAGGUACUGCCUACGAAUCCUUUAGUUUGGAGAAAUACUUUGGGGACUAGAACAGGAACAAUCACAGUUGGCUGGAGGAACGUGGGGCAAAUGGGCCUUGAGCUGUCCCUUUAAGAAUGAGUAGGAGCUGGGAAGGUGGAGGGCAUAACAUAUGAGCAAAAUUAUUGUCUCACUUAAUGGUGAAUGGGACAUCUUUUGCCCAUUCUCCCCACCCUCCAAGAUAAUUCUUGGGUUAGAGUCGGCUCUUGGGUGGGAGAGGCAAUAUGGGGAAUUCAUUCAUUCAAAAUAAA